AAAAAAAAGAACAACCUUGAGUGAGUAUGGAGCAUAGCAUUGACAUUUGGCAUUGGUGAACGAGAGGAUGAGCAUUUGUACGCGAGGAGUGCUUCUCAUCAACGCUCGUAUCUCUUCCAAUUUCUCCUUCCGAGGCUUUCGCAGGUUGUCGGUUGUUCCACGUUUGCAACAGUGUGAAGGGGUGAGAAGGGGUUUCUCCAAAAGCAUGGCUUGCAGUGUGGAAAAUUGUGAUAUGGGUAGUGGGGUGGUUCAUCCAGCCACAGAUGCUUAUGCUGGAGAGGCAGUUGAAGCUUUGAAAGCUGGGAAAGUCAUUGCAGUGCCCACUGAUACACUCUAUGGCUUUGCUUGUGAUGCUUGUUCAUUGGAAGCGGUUAACAGGAUUUAUGAGAUUAAAGGCCGUAGACAUACAAGCCCUCUGGCUAUUUGUGUCGGUGACGUAUCAGAUAUAGCCCGUUUUGCUGUCACUGACCAUUUACCUCAUGGUCUGCUUGAUUCCCUCCUACCUGGGCCUGUUACAGUUGUACUAAAACGAGGAGAGUCAAGUGUUCUUGAACGAUCAUUGAACCCAGGAUUUGAUAGUAUAGGAGUUAGAGUACCUGAUUGCAACUUCAUCAGGAUCAUUGCCCGUGGUUCAGGAACUGCCCUAGCUCUAACCAGUGCAAACCUAAGUGGACAGCCAAGUAGUGUGACCAUCAAAGAUUUUGAGAACCUCUGGGAACACUGUGCUUUUGUUUAUGAUGGUGGUUUGCUUCCAUCAAGUCGUGCAGGUUCAACAGUUGUGGACCUCACUGCACCGCACAAAUACAGGAUACUUAGACCUGGAAGUGCAAAGGACGAGACAGUUGCCAUCUUGGAAAAGCAUUCUUUCGUUGAGGAAGUGACCUCUUAAAUAAUUUGUGAUUCAUUUGCAGUGUCACGUUGUAGCUAGGCAUAAUGUUUCACUUGCAAAAAAAAAACAAUUAUUUCGCUUGGACAUUUGAUGCAUUACGACCGUGGUAGAUAGUGCAUUGUGGGAUUCCUUCUAUAUUUAACAUCUUUGAAACACAAAGCAACCACUGGAUAUGGAUGCUGAAUCUUGUUAUCUCGAGCAUCACGAAUUAUGUUACGUGUUUGUUGUGGCAUUGCUUUUACAUUGGAUUUCACGAGUAUCAUUAUAAAAGUGUGUAUUUCUGAAUCUUCCUGGC